ACCUAGACAGCGUCCAUGAAACUACAUAUCCCUCCGCCGAAGUCAGGCGGGUCUAUCCUCUGUCUAACAAAUGGCAAAAACACGCGUUAAAGCUGAAUAUCUUAUUUAAAGUGUUUAUUGGCGGGUAAGGAAAAUCGGCGUUUUAGUUUAUUUGACUCUGGACACGACAUAAACUCUAGAAACACUAUUCAGAAGUCGUCUCUCUGUGUGUCGCCGCGGCGGAGGAAUUUUUUUUCUCAUUUUUGUACUUCUCCGAGUCUGGUAUGACUCAAAUUUAACCCGUUCAAUGUUUUUCUCCUCUCCUUUCCGUACUCUACACGUUCUUUCCCGAUAUGCAGCCGAACGCCCACUGGCCGCUCACGCUCGUCGCCGCCGUUAACACUUCAUGUCAUGUGCCACGGUCCAGGUCUGCGGCUGCAGAUUUCAGCCUGUUAAAGAAACAUGACUCCCGCUGCUGCGACCGGCCCUCUGUCCUCUAUUCAACCCUGCUGAAAGGCCGGGGACCGGAGGGAGCAAAUUGAUCUCCUCAGGGGUCCGCACAGACAAUGCUCUUGUUGCUGUGGCCAGUGUCAAACUCUUGCUCUGCUCGCCUCGUUGGAUGCUGACGUUCCAACAAAAGCUGUUUAGGCAUUUGGUCAGACGUUGUUUUUGUUUAUAAAUGCUGUCUCAUAGUUGUUUAUUUUUCCUCCUCAUCCCCAAUCCACUACCACAGAUGUGUUGUUUUUUUAUGGCGUUAUUAUGGUUUUUUUUGUAACAUUUUUUUUCUAACCAGCAGGAUUGUAAAUUCAGAAUUUCUCCCACUGCUCUUUGAUAAAUCCCCUGAUUCGUGGUGAAGCAGAUCAUCAUAAACACUGUGAGUAAAUCACACUGGAGGAUCACUGUCUGUGACACUGUUUUCCUGAUGAUGUCACUCCAGAUGUGAUUUUUGUAGUUUGGGAAGGAUAGUUGAGAAAGGGUGUGGAUCUGCCUCAUGAGCAGAAAACCCUGAUUAGUUCCUGCUUGCCACUGCGUCGAUGAAAGGGCUUUUCACUCUUCCAAAAAACAAAAAGCGUAAUCUCUCUGAUAUUAUUAAAAUCCUUCUUUGAAUCAAGAACUAACAUACUGAAUAAAAAGCAUAAUCUGUUUUAUCUAUUGUCAGGGACACAAAUCAGUGUCUAUGUCAUCAGUAUGUUGGAAAUACCACGUAUAGGGGACACCACAGAGCAGUAAUAAAACUGGGCUUGGAUCAGAGCCACCGCACUCUGCCACGCCAAGGCAGACGCUUUGAUCAGCGUUGGGUCUCCACACUGAUUUGGAGCUCAUCAUUCAGGGGGACUCCAGCUGUCAGCCAGCACAGUUACUCUGAAGAGCACGGCACUCAGCGUGCGGAGAGCAGUGAGUCAUAACAGAGGGAGAGAGUGUGCGUGUGUAAAACCAUAAACAUGCCAGCUUCGGCUGAUAUUAGAGCCAUGGGAAACCAAAUCAGUGCCUGUCAUUCACAGAGGCCGUCAUCUAACCUUUCCGUCACUCAGCUCUGAAUGAGUGUGAGGUGUGUGUGCCUGAUUCCCAGUUUUAAUAGGCGCAUUUGUUCCAGUUGACUGUUUGUCGUAAAAGCAUCGACCAGCAGGCGUUUUGUGCAACAGCUGUGAAAUCCCGGCACCAUGAGCAGUCGUGUCGAGCCUCCUGCACAUGUUCAUCUGGAAGCAUCAUCUUAAUGUCAUCUUAACUGUGUAAGCAGAUCUGGGCGACAGGAAGUUGAACAGGGUAUAUUUAGGGUUGAUUAUGACUUCUCUGUCUGUUUUAACCCACAGCUUUAGGUUUUGGUUCCAUGUGACCACGGCUGGGUAUCUGUGAAUUAAUUCAGGGCAGUGGGGAUUGGCAGAAUGUCUAACACAUAAUGGCAGAUGAGAUCCGCUCAGUAUCAGAUCUCCUGCAGAAGCAUCAGCAGAAAUAGUUUGGCCACUAAAUCAGGCUCACCGAGACGAGAAGCCACAUAAGUGUCUAAUUUACUGAGAGACACGGCGCUGAUACGGGAUUUCCAAGUAUUUAAUCACAGUAGAUCAUUUUCCUGUGUGAACUUGAGGUAAUAUGAGCCAAAUGUCAACAUCUAGCCAGAUAAUGUGCACAUAAUUUUAAAAAAGCACACACAUACUGUAGAUCAGCACUAAAUCAGUGUAAUCAUUUACUCGGGUCUUCUCUCAAAGUCAACAUGCCUACGAUGUUGUUACGUCAAAAUAGAUCCUUUUGAAUCAAUAAAAUGUAGCACGACGAAUGAGGCUGUCGUCCUAUUUAUGUGAUUAAUCAUCAAGCUCAUGAUGCCAGCUGCAUCGCGUUGCAGACAACGCGCGUAGUAAGAAACUCUGUAAGGCCGUCUCCAAUUAAUUAGUGGCAGAUAUUAUGUGGCUGUGGACAUGCUGCACACUGCGCCAACGUAGUGCUUUGCAGUUGUCAGCUUCUUUGGAGAGAGCCAGCACGUUGUGUGGGAAAGCGGCCUAGCGUGUGUGUGUGUGUGUGUGUGUGUGUGUGUGUGUGUGUGUGUGUGUGUGUGUGUGUGUGUGCAUAUCGUGGCGUUUUCCAGUGGUCAAAAAUCAGCCAGCGUGAGGAUCCGAUGUGACCGGGCGUGAUGUGAAUGGUGCCAGACGGGUCCCCUGUGUGAGGAGGAGAGGGGUUAGCAGCGAGGUGAGGAAACAGGUGAUGAAGGAGGAGGACGAGGGGUGUGUGUGUGUGUGUGUGUGUGUGUGAGAGAGAGAGACCCAUCCUGUAAGGUGAACUAGGGUCUGGCAGGGCAGGUGGACAGGAAUGUGCUGUUGUGUGUGGAUGGGAUACUCCCUCGAGGGUCGCAGCCUGCCCACUGUCACCCCACACUAGCAGGCUAUUUAUAUCGCACUGUGGGAAAAUAACGGCCUCAACGGUGUGAUGUGGGCUCGGCACGGUUUCUGCUCCUAACCUACACCUACACACAAUGCCAGCGCAUUAGUCACAAAGAGCAAGGGAGGUGCGAAUGGCGUGAGACUGGUGUAUGAGGCUCAUGAUCACCGUAGCGUCGCCCUGAAACAGGAUUCAGCUACAUGCACAGAUUAAACGGACAGUUUAGAUACUGUAUGCUGACGCUGAGGUCACAAAGGGACUGAGAGCAGAGAAGCUAAAGCUGACCUUGACCUCUACAUGUGACCCACCAGGACAAACCCACACGUCCUGCUGUGGACGUUUGGACUCGAGGGAGGUCUCAGUGAGGGCACAUUCAGCCCUGCCAGCUCCCUCCAAGGUCGUCUAAAUGCCCCCCUGUACAUUAACACAUUAUACAGGGACACGCUGGGACCCACAUGUAUGCACACAAACGUCAAAACAUAAACACGCAAAGCUGCUGACAUGCACAUUAGAACGCUCCUCCAUCAUCCCCUGGUCCCUGAGGCCCAGGGGCGCAGGAGGUCGAAGCGAUCCGCCACAGCCCAUGAUGUCUAGCACAGAUGGGAUGAGAAGGAUGACAGGUCAGACGGAGGCAACUAGUGCUUCAGAUAAACACCAGCAGAGCAUAAAAUGAGUGGAUUAAUAAGGUGGGAAUAUGAGCUUUGUAGCGACAGUCUCUCAUUUUUCUGGUGAUUUGCUAUAAUGCAUUUUCCGCACGCUCCAUUCCUAUGCACAGGCCGCAUUUCUCUGCAUGUUUGUGUGUUUUGGUGAAAGUCCCAGAGUGUGUUAAAUUGACUGAGCUCUGCAUAUCUUCCAGGGUUAAUUGUAUCAUAAAUUCACAAGCUGUUAAAAGGCACGGCUGGAAUUCACACUUCAGCCUCCACUCUCUCCCAGCUCUCAGCACACAGCUCUAUGUAUGUGUGUGUGUGUGUAUGGGGGGGGUAUCUGUAUGUUAUCGGUGUGGAAGAGAUAAAUAAAAAAACUAGCAGAAACACAUGUACACGCUUGUACCUGACAUGUAUUACUCUGGACAAGUCAUCUUCCCACUGUCACACGUUCAUGAAUAUGUCCUUUGUUUCCUCUGUGUCUCCCGCUCUCCUCCCACUUUGUUUAUGGCAUUUUCUUAUGCACCUUCAGGCUCGUUGUAGCACGCAGCAUGAGCUGUGUGCUGGGAAAGAGAUCAUUUAUUACGCUGGUUUUAUUAGAGAGGUCUGCUCUCUCUUUUUUUUUUUUUUUAAAUACGCUUACGCACUGUUACGACGGGAAGGUGGGACUGUUCAUCAUUAUUCUGUGUUGGAGUGAUAAAGAACACACAGAGGGCAGAGCGUGUCCUGAGCUGUGAGAACACGCCACAACGACCCCCCUGUGAGAAGUUCCCGGUUCCCAGGACCCGGUGUGUGCGUUUCGGGGCAAUAACUCACCAGGUCCCUCGACUUCCUCUUUAGGCUUCUGCGUUUUAUGGCCUCUCCUCUGCCGUACAGCUGCUGUCUCCACAGCUUCCCUUUGCUCUGAUUGGACCGGGCAGGAGUUUGAUGGAGGAGGAUGAUUGGGAUAAGACUGCGAAGCAGCUGGGAUGAGGUGUUGGGCUCAUCAUAUGUUAUGAGAUGGGACACAACUUGACUUGUUGUGAUUCCCGCCUUUCUCACCACACAUGGCCAGAGUUACAGAUAGAAAACAAGAUAACCAGAAUGAAUUGACACUAUUUCUAUUUGGAUCUGAAAUAAUGUUUCAUAAGAUGGAAGAUGGAAAUGUAGAAAAAUAUACUCUACAACUAAACCUGAGAGAGUCGUGUUUAACACUGGGCCAAAAUAGUAAAAAAGACUCAUGUCACGUGUCUUCUCUCUGACCACAUCCUGUAGAGUAAAGUCUAGUCACACUCAGGGCAGCAGACAGAGAUGUCACGUCUGUACGCCUCGUCUUCCUUAUUAUAAAAUCACAUCAGACGAGUUUGGAGUAAGUUGGGAGCUCCAGGACAGAAUCAAGGAAUUUGCAGCAGAGCCUGCUGCCUGUUCUCAUGUGAUGGAGGUGGCCUGCCAGAAACAGGCCGGCUGAAACACCAUCACUGUCUGCAUGUUUGGCUUGAAGACAGAGCGUCUGAAGGUCAAGGUCACGGUCACGUUGUUUUGAAGGUCCUGUUUCUUUAAGAUUGCACAAGAUUCAGGAGGAGUCGUGUGUGGGUGGACGACGUUGUGGUUGUGUAUGUGUCUUUGACAGGAAAUUUAAUCAAGACAGGGUAAUAUGAGUUGGCAAGACUACACACCACAGGGUCUGCUCUUGAAACCCGAUAAGUAGACGACACAGCAGCCUUUCUGCUCGUCUUCCUGGCUUCUGUGUGUGUGUGUGUGUGUGUGUUGAAAUCAGACUGUGUGUUUAGUACAUGUGCCGUAUUCCUGACCCCUGAUCACACAAAGUAUUUUAAUCCAAUCAGCUUCGUUUUCACAUGACUGUCACACACUUGCUGUUGCCAUGGUAACCUACAGAGGAAAUGCUGGAGCGACAAAAGGGCUGCGUUGUGCUUUCUUCAAUUACGGAGACAUUCACGCGCAGACGGACGGCGACACACCGUCGCUUCUACGCGUUACGCGUUUCACAAAGGCGCAGAGCGUGAUUUGGAGGAGCCGUGUUGCACUUUCAACAUCCUCAAAGUGGUGGAAGAGGCAAGAAAACAAAAGUCACCCACAUCAGAUUCAGUGGAAAUGCAGAUAAGUGUGAGACGUCAUCAAAAACAAGACAUGGGUAAAACAGCUGUUCUACAUUAAAUAUGCAACAGCAGUGAUGGAUUCCUUCUGCGUCUGAAAACGAUUUUCCUACACUUACUGAAUUACUGAACUAUGAUCCUGUAUCUACCUGACACGGUCCAUUUCUUCACAUUUGCUGCUGCAGCACUAACAGAUGAGUGUGUCAGAGCAGUGCAGCAGUAAACACAGAGAAACGCAACAACGCAAGUAGUUAUGGAGGAAAAGGAAAUGCUUGGAAACAGCAUCUUACAGGUCACCAUUGCGUUGAGUGGAAACAAUAUGACAAAACAACAUAAGUUUGAUCACAAGUGAGGCCAAAGUCUCAAAUACCCACUUCCCCUGCGAGGUGAAAAGUUGAAGCUGAAGAAUCCGUCUGCUGCCGCCGCCGCCGCUCCGUGUGUUUGCAGCGUCUGGUGCAACAACACCCGACUUGUUUUCUUAACUCUUCUUCUUAACGUGGAAAAGCUGCAGCCUGUAUUUUUUAAAGCCAACCUAUGAUUUGCUGGUGACUUUGGAGGGAGCAGAGCUGCAGGCGAUGAGGAGUGACUCCUAAUGAGCUGCACUGCUGCCCCCUGCUGGCCCGCAGCGGUAGCACCUCCACGCUUAGGACGUUAAACGUGGUGUAAUGUGACUCAAUCAAACAUUACAGAAUGGUACAUUUAUUUUAAAUACCCAGUUUGGGCUAAUUGCACAAUAAAGAAAUAUCUUUAUUAUUAAAAAUAAGGCAGAGCUUCAGUCUCUAACUCUCACUUUGAGUCACUGAACUUUGCAGGGUUGACUAUGAUUAAUUGAUGAUUUCCCCUCUUCAUAUUUAGAAAUGCUUCUUGGAAAUCCUCGCCAUACUGAGACCCAUGCAGUAAUAGCAAACCCUGCUUUGAAGGUUAAACGGUCCAGUUUAUCUAACAGCUAUUCAGAUGUCAGCUUGUUUCUGUGUUGAUGAAACCAGUUCCAGUCAAGCAUACUCAAUGAUCUACCAGGUCCAAGUGAAUAGACAUGCACAUGUCAUUCAAAUGAUUUUAUUCACAGACAGAACAGAAAAAUAGGAGUUUUUUUUUUCCUAAGAGAGCCUACAACACCUGUCACUCUCAUCCCCCUUUGACCAGGUCAACACUCCUGUAAACUUACAAAAUAAAAGGACCUGACCAGACAUCAAAUAUUCUUGUGCCUGUUUACAGAAAGUUGUCUUUCCAAGACAAGAUAAAGGGUGUUGGAAUAUACACGGUUGAGGUCAGUGUGGGAACUGUAUAAACAUUAGUGGUAGGAAAGAGUUAGAAGACCAGGCCUUCUGCAGAUUCAUUAAACAGUUCUUUGGGCUUCUUGUCCUGUCUGUCCCAUAAGGAUUUACACAGUAAACUAUUAUUUAAACUAUAUAAAUGAACCACUUGAAUUAUUU